AAUACGGAGGAUGCGAGCGUUAUCCGGAUUUAUUGGGUUUAAAGGGUGCGUAGGCGGUUUAUUAAGUUAGUGGUUAAAUAUUUGAGCUAAACUCAAUUGUGCCAUUAAUACUGGUAAACUGGAGUACAGACGAGGUAGGCGGAAUAAGUUAAGUAGCGGUGAAAUGCAUAGAUAUAACUUAGAACUCCGAUAGCGAAGGCAGCUUACCAGACUGUAACUGACGCUGAUGCACGAGAGCGUGGGUAGCGAACAGGAUUAGAUACCCUGGUAGUCCACGCCGUAAACGAUGCUCACUGGUUCUGUGCGAUAUAUUGUACGGGAUUAAGCGAAAGUAUUAAGUGAGCCACCUGGGGAGUACGUCGGCAACGAUGAAACUCAAAGGAAUUGACGGGGGCCCGCACAAGCGGAGGAACAUGUGGUUUAAUUCGAUGAUACGCGAGGAACCUUACCCGGGCUUGAAAGUUAUCGACGGACUUGGAAACAGGUCUUCCCUUCGGGGCGAGAAACUAGGUGCUGCAUGGUUGUCGUCAGCUCGUGCCGUGAGGUGUCGGGUUAAGUCCCAUAACGAGCGCAACCCCUAUCUUUAGUUGCCAUCAGGUCAAGCUGGGCACUCUAAAGAGACUGCCACCGUAAGGUGAGAGGAAGGCGGGGAUGACGUCAAAUCAGCACGGCCCUUACACCCAGGGCUACACACGUGUUACAAUGGCCGGUACAGAGGGCCGCUACCAGGUGACUGGAUGCCAAUCUCAAAAGCCGGUCGUAGUUCGGAUUGGAGUCUGUAACCCGACUCCAUGAAGUUGGAUUCGCUAGUAAUCGCGCAUCAGCCAUGGCGCGGUGAAUACGUUCCCGGGCC
rnacentral:rRNA from 1 species